GACAGAUUUGACGGUACUGCUCCAGAACCUCGCAAGGGAAUACCGAGUGGUCAUAUACCUGGUAGCAAGUGUGUCCCUUUUCCCGACAUGUUUGAUUCCUCUCAAACACUGUUACCAGCGGAGGAGCUUAAGAAGAGGUUUGAACAAGAAGGUA